GAUGAACGCUGGCGGCGUGCUUAACACAUGCAAGUCGAGCGAGUGAGUUCUUUGGAACGAUCUAGCGGCGGACGGGUGAGUAACACGUGGGCAACCUGCCUCAUAGAGGGGAAUAGCCUCCCGAAAGGGAGAUUAAUACCGCAUAAAAUUAUCGAGUGGCAUCACAUGAUACUCAAAGGAGCAAUCCGCUAUGAGAUGGGCCCGCGGCGCAUUAGCUAGUUGGUGAGGUAACGGCUCACCAAGGCGACGAUGCGUAGCCGACCUGAGAGGGUGAUCGGCCACAUUGGGACUGAGACACGGCCCCGACUCCUACGGGAGGCAGCAGUGGGGAAUAUUGCACAAUGGGGAAACCCUGAUGCAGCAACGCCGCGUGAGUGAUGAAGGUCUUCGGAUUGUAAAGCUCUGUCUUUGGGGACGAUAAUGACGGUACCCAAGGAGGAAGCCACGGCUAACUACGUGCCAGCCGCCGCCGUAA
rnacentral:rRNA from 1 species